ACGUAGGAUCCAAGCGUUGUCCGGAAUUACUGGGCAUAAAGGGAGCGUAGGCGGAUUUGUGCGUCAGAGGUGAAAUCCCACAGCUUAACUGUGGAACUGCCUUUGAUACGGCGAAUCUUGAGUGUGAGAGAGGCGAGUAGAAUUCCAGGUGUAGCGGUGAAAUGCGUAGAUAUCUGGAGGAAUACCAGUGGAGAAGUCGGCUCGCUGGCUCACAACUGACGCUGAGGCUCGAAAGCGUGGGGAUCAAACAG
rnacentral:rRNA from 1 species